GAUGAACGCUGGCGGCGUGCCUAAUACAUGCAAGUCGAGCGAACGGACGAGAAGCUUGCUUUUCUGAUGUUAGCGGCGGACGGGUGAGUAACACGUGGAUAACCUACCUAUAAGACUGGGAUAACUUCGGGAAACCGGAGCUAAUACCGGAUAAUAUUUUGAACCGCAUGGUUCAAAAGUGAAAGACGGUCUUGCUGUCACUUAUAGAUGGAUCCGCGCUGCAUUAGCUAGUUGGUAAGGUAACGGCUUACCAAGGCAACGAUGCAUAGCCGACCUGAGAGGGUGAUCGGCCACACUGGGACUGAGACACGGUCCAGACUCCUACGGGAGGCAGCAGUAGGGAAUCUUCCGCAAUGGGCGAAAGCCUGACGGAGCAACGCCGCGUGAGUGAUGAAGGUCUUCGGAUCGUAAAACUCUGUUAUUAGGGAAGAACAUAUGUGUAAGUAACUGUGCACAUCUUGACGGUACCUAAUCAGAAAGCCACGGCUAACUACGUGCCAGCAGCCGCGGUAAUACGUAGGUGGCAAGCGUUAUCCGGAAUUAUUGGGCGUAAAGCGCGCGUAGGCGGUUUUUUAAGUCUGAUGUGAAAGCCCACGGCUCAACCGUGGAGGGUCAUUGGAAACUGGAAAACUUGAGUGCAGAAGAGGAAAGUGGAAUUCCAUGUGUAGCGGUGAAAUGCGCAGAGAUGUGGAGGAACACCAGUGGCGAAGGCGACUUUCUGGUCUGUAACUGACGCUGAUGUGCGAAAGCGUGGGGAUCAAACAGGAUUAGAUACCCUGGUAGUCCACGCCGUAAACGAUGAGUGCUAAGUGUUAGGGGGUUUCCGCCCCUUAGUGCUGCAGCUAACGCAUUAAGCACUCCGCCUGGGGAGUACGACCGCAAGGUUGAAACUCAAAGGAAUUGACGGGGGCCCGCACAAGCGGUGGAGCAUGUGGUUUAAUUCGAAGCAACGCGAAGAACCUUACCAAAUCUUGACAUCCUUUGACAACUCUAGAGAUAGAGCCUUCCCCUUCGGGGGACAAAGUGACAGGUGGUGCAUGGUUGUCGUCAGCUCGUGUCGUGAGAUGUUGGGUUAAGUCCCGCAACGAGCGCAACCCUUAAGCUUAGUUGCCAUCAUUAAGUUGGGCACUCUAAGUUGACUGCCGGUGACAAACCGGAGGAAGGUGGGGAUGACGUCAAAUCAUCAUGCCCCUUAUGAUUUGGGCUACACACGUGCUACAAUGGACAAUACAAAGGGCAGCGAAACCGCGAGGUCAAGCAAAUCCCAUAAAGUUGUUCUCAGUUCGGAUUGUAGUCUGCAACUCGACUACAUGAAGCUGGAAUCGCUAGUAAUCGUAGAUCAGCAUGCUACGGUGAAUACGUUCCCGGGUCU
rnacentral:rRNA from 1 species